rnacentral:rRNA from 1 species
UACGGAGGGGGCUAGCGUUGUUCGGAAUUAUUGGGCGUAAAGAGCUCGUAGGCGGUUCGUCGCGUCGGCUGUGAAAACCCGGAGCUCAACUCCGGGCCUGCAGUCGAUACGGGCGGACUUGAGUGUUGCAGGGGAGACUGGAAUUCCUGGUGUAGCGGUGAAAUGCGCAGAUAUCAGGAAGAACACCAAUGGCGAAAGCAGCUCUCUGGGACGGUACUGACGCUGAGACGCGAAAGCGUGGGAGCGAACAGG